rnacentral:rRNA from 1 species
UUGAUUACGUCCCUGCCCUUUGUACACACCGCCCGUCGCUACCCGGGACUGAGUUGUUUCGAGAAAUUUACGGACUGCUGGCGUAAAGGCAACUUUGCAUCAAGUGGAAAGUAAAUUAAUCGCAAUGGCUUGAACCGGGUAAAAGUCGUAACAAGGUAUCGGUAGGUGAACCUGCCGAUGGAUCAUUA